ACCGGCAGCUCAAGUGGUGGCCAUUAUUAUUGGGCCUAAAGCGUUCGUAGCCGGUUUGAUAAGUCUCUGGUGAAAUCCCGCAGCUUAACUGUGGGACUUGAUGGAGAUAAUAUCAGACUUGAGGUCGGGAGAGGUUAGGGGUACUCCCAGGGUAGGGGUGAAAUCCUAUAAUCCUGGGAGGACUACCUGUGGCGAAGGCGCCUAACUGGACCGAACCUGACGGUGAGUAACGAAAGCCAGUGGCGUGAUCCG
rnacentral:rRNA from 1 species